rnacentral:rRNA from 1 species
GACGAACGCUGACGGCGUGCUUUAGACAUGCAAGUCGAACGAGAAAGCCCUUCGGGGUUAGUAAAGUGGCGAACGGGUGAGUAACACGUGGGCAAUCUGCCCUUCGUUGGGGGACAACCGGGGGAAACCCCGGCUAAUACCCCGUAAGCUUGUCGGGUCGCAUGGCCUGACAAGGAGAGGUAGCUUCGGCCAUCCGGCGAAGGAGGAGCCCGCGGUACAUUAGCUAGUUGGUGAGGUAAAGGCCCACCAAGGCGACGAUGUAUAGCUGGUCUGAGAGGAUGAUCAGCCACACUGGGACUGAGACACGGCCCAGACUCCUACGGGAGGCAGCAGUCGGGAAUCUUGCACAAUGGGCGAAAGCCUGAUGCAGCAACGCCGUGUGAGCGACGAAGGCCCUAGGGUCGUAAAGCUCUGUUGUUAGGGACGAAGGGCGAAGGGUUAAUAGCCCUUAGCCUGACGGUACCUUUCGAGGAAGCCCCGGCUAACUACGUGCCAGCCGCCGCUGUAACAC